rnacentral:rRNA from 2 species
UCUGGCCUCAAAUCAGGUGGGACUACCCGCUGAACUUAAGCAUAUCAAUAAGCGGAGGAAAAGAAACUAACAAGGAUUCCCCUAGUAACGGCGAGUGAAGCGGGAUGAGCUCAAAUUUAAAAUCUGGCAGUCUAAGAUUGUCCGAGUUGUAGUCUAGAGAAGCGUUUUCCGCGUAGGCCUGUGUACAAGUCCCUUGGAAUAGGGCGUCAUAGAGGGUGAGAAUCCCGUCCUUGACACAGAUCAUCUAUGCUCUGCGAUGCGCUCUCGAAGAGUCGAGUUGUUUGGGAAUGCAGCUCAAAAUGGGUGGUAAAUUCCAUCUAAAGCUAAAUAUUGGCGAGAGACCGAUAGCGAACAAGUACCGUGAGGGAAAGAUGAAAAGCACUUUGGAAAGAGAGUUAAACAGUACGUGAAAUUGUUGAAAGGGAAACGAUUGAAGUCAGUCAUGUGGUUUGAGGUUCAGCCGGUUCUGCCGGUGUAUUCCUCAGACUACAGGCCAGCAUCAGUUUCGACCGGUGGAAAAAGUUGGAGGGAACGUGGCAUCCUCGGAUGUGUUAUAGCCCUCUUUCACAUGCAUCGGACGGGACUGAGGAACGCAGCGUGCCUUUAUGGUCGGUCUUCGGACACGAACGCGCUUAGGAUGCUGGCAUAAUGGCUUUAAACG